UGCCCCAUGGCUGAGUUGGUUACAGCGUCCGACUGUUAUCUUGUCCCCGAGUAAAUGCAAUCGGAAGGUCGUGAGUUCGAGCCUCACUGGGGCAG